GAUGAACGCUGGCGGCGUGCCUAAUACAUGCAAGUCGAGCGAAUGGAUUGAGAGCUUGCUCUUAUGAAGGUAGCGGCGGACGGGUGAGUAACACGUGGGUAACCUGCCCAUAAGACUGGGAUAACUCCGGGAAACCGGGGCUAAUACCGGAUAACAUUUUGAACCGCAUGGUUCGAAAUUGAAAGGCGGCUUCGGCUGUCACUUCUGGAUGGACCCGCGUCGCAUUAGCUAGUGGGUGAGGUAACGGCUCACCAAGGCAACGAUGCGUAGCCGACCUGAGAGGGUGAUCGGCCACCCUGGGACUGAGACACGGCCCAGACUCCUACGGGAGGCAGCAGUAGGGAAUCUUCCGCAAUGGACGAAAGUCUGACGGAGCAACGCCGCGUGAGUGAUGAAGGCUUUCGGGUCGUAAAACUCUGCUGUUAGGGAAGAACAAGUGCUAGUUGAAUAAGCUGGCACCUUGACGGUACCUAACCAGAAAGCCACGGCUAACUACGUGCCAGCCGCCGCCGUAA
rnacentral:rRNA from 1 species